UACAGAGGGUGCGAGCGUUGUUCGGAAUUAUUGGGCGUAAAGCGCUUGUAGGCGCACGUCAAGUCGCGUGUGAAAUCCCCAGGCUUAGCCUGGGAAGUGCGCGCGAAACUGACGAGCUUGAGUGCCGGAGAGGGUCGCGGAAUUCCCGGUGUAGAGGUGAAAUUCGUAGAUAUCGGGAGGAACACCAGUGGCGAAGGCGGCUACCUGGACCGGUUCUGACGCUGAUGCGCGAAAAGCGUGGGUAGCAAACAGGG
rnacentral:rRNA from 1 species